rnacentral:rRNA from 1 species
UACGUAGGGUCCAAGCGUUAUCCGGAGUUACUGGGCGUAAAGGGCGCGUAGGCGGCACUGUUAGUCAGGCGUGAAAGUCCUGGGCUCAACCUGGGAACUGCGCUUGAUACGGCAGAGCUAGAGGAUGGAAGAGGCUCGCGGAAUUCCCAGUGUAGAGGUGAAAUUCGUAGAUAUCGGGAGGAACACCCGUGGCGAAGGCGGCUCUCUGGGACGGUACUGACGCUGAGACGCGAAAGCGUGGGGAGCGAACAGG